rnacentral:tmRNA from 1 species
GGGGAUGUAUUGUUUCGACAGGAUAGCACAUUAAAAACUGCAAGCCGAAUACGAUUCUAAAGUGCGUCAAGCUUUGAAUCAAAUUUAAGUGCAAGAAACUUAUUUGCACGAGGUCUUGCGGCUUUGAGGGAAACCUUUAGCCCAAGUCCAGCUCUAGCUUUUGCAUAAGCUUAAGCUUUGAGCUUGUCUCUUUAACCUUUUCUCGGUGAGGUUAUUUGGGGCACAAACUUAGCCGAGAGUAGGACUUUGGUUUUGAUCUAACCUUAGCCUGAAAUUUAGAUCUUUGCCUUGUUUCCGUUUGUUAAUCGACAAAGAGGUGAGGCGAGAUUUUAAAGAUUAACUAAGCUUGUAGAAGUUUUUGAUAAGUUUAUCUUGGACGCCGGGCCAUACCCGGCCAUCUCCACAG